rnacentral:misc_RNA from 1 species
GAAAUGCGAUAAGUAGUGUGAAUUGCAGAAUUCAGUGAAUCAUCGAAUCUUUGAACGCACAUUGCGCCCCUUGGUAUUCCAUGGGGCAUGCCUGUUCGAGCGUCAUUUGUACCUUCAAGCUCUGCUUGGUGUUGGGUGUUUGUCCCGCCUUUGUGCGUGGACUCGCCUCAAAGCAAUUGGCAGCCGGCGUAUAGGUUUCGGAGCGCAGCACAAAACGCGCUCUGUGUCCUUGUACGACGACGUCCAUCAAGCCUUUUUUUACACUCUUGACCUCGGAUCAGGUAGGGAUACCCGCUGAACUUAA